UGAGGAAUAUUGCGCAAUGGGGGCAACCCUGACGCAGCAACGCCGCGUGAGUGAGGAAGGUUUUCGGACCGUAAAGCUCUGUCGAGCGGGAAGAAAUGCAUGGUGGCUAAUAUCCAUCAUGCUUGACGGUACCGCUAAAGGAAGCACCGGCUAACUCCAUGCCAGCAGCCGCGGUAAUACGGGGGGGUGCGAGCGUUGUUCGGAAUUAUUGGGCGUAAAGAGCGUGUAGGCGGCCGAAUAAGUCAGAUGUGAAAUCCCUGGGCUUAACCCAGGACGUGCAUUUGAAACUAUUCGGCUGGAGUAGGGGAGAGGAAAGUGGAAUUCCUGGUGUAGAGGUGAAAUUCGUAGAUAUCAGGAGGAACACCGGUGGCGAAGGCGACUUUCUGGCCCUAUACUGACGCUGAGACGCGAGAGCGUGGGUAGCAAACA
rnacentral:rRNA from 1 species